CAGACUUCAAACCGAUGCCGAUAAAAUUAAUUAUGACAAUUAUGACGAACGACUAAUUGAUGUCACAAGUCUAAGGAGUAGCGUAGACACAAAAAUAAAGGAAAGUGCCCAGAAACAGAAGGAAUCUUUUGAUGCAAAAAGAAAAAAUGCACAUGAAUUUCAAGAAGGUGAUUUAGUAGUCAUAAAAAUACCGAGCCAAAAUAAUGAUGGACAAAGCACGAAAUUAUUACCGGUAUUCAAAGGUCCUUUUCAGGUAACAGAAGUUUUAGGUCAUGAUCGAUAUAAAAUAGCAGAUAUGAGAGGUGCCGACCGAUCAAACAAGCGAUACGAGGGUGUAACCUGUGUUGAAAACAUGAAACCAUGGAUACAUAUCAAGGACAUGGAUAUUUAAAGGUCAAGAAUGGAAACACGGAUGUUGUCAGAUAUGCACCAGACUAUAACGCAACCGAGGACGGAUGCGUGCGCAGGAUAGCCGGAUGUUGUCGCACAAAUAAAUAAAACUAAACAAAAUUGUAUAUAUAUAUUUAGGCAGUGAUAUAUUUAAGGUUUAUUAUGUGUUGAGCCGAUUUAUAUAAAAAGAUGUUAACAUGAUUAGUUAGGGUUAUUCCAGCACGGAAGUUCGUAACAAGGUUCGCAAGCAAGCCGAAUAGUUCCGAGUUUGCCCGAGCGAAGGUAACGAGUUUGAUGUUUUUGUACGGAGCGCCACUUUGUUCGGAACCUUCGUGCUGGUAACAUAUCUUGCUUAAACAUUGUAUUUGUUAGUCUUAAGAAUAUUGAUUAAAAGGCAUCUGUAUCGUGAA